UCGUUUUGUAUUAUGAGUUGAACACUUUCUUUCUUCUCCGUCGAGUUACACCCUCCGGUUUCGAUUCAGUUGCCUCAUCUUCUUCACUCCGAUCCAGAAAUCUAUCAGUUACGAAUUCAUCAUCUUAAAAUUUUCCUUAAAUCCAUCAUCCACAAUCUACAUUCAAUGUUAGCUUCGCUCUUGCAAGGCGGUGGAGAUUCGAGUAUAAGAAGCCACCGUAAAUGUAAGCCGGCUCGCUACAUUCAGUAACUACCUUAAGGCUGGUUCAAUGUUCACUCUCAGCGGAUUUGUAGUGGUUCAAUACAAUCAGAACUUCAGACUUUUGGACACCAUUUUGACUUUUCGGUUCAAUGUCUUAACUUUGAUGCGUUAACCGCACCCGUUUCUCCCAGUUUUGAAGAGCGUUUCAGGUUCCGUGAUCUUGAUUCCCAGCUUGGCCUAGCCAGCACCAACACCCAACUUCCAGAUAUAUCCUCUUAUUAGAUUUUUGACUCAGACUUAUCAUUGUAACCAAUAUAUUUAAACUAUUGAACACAUCUCAGACGUUAUUGGUGAGCUACUGAUGUGAAGGUGUGUGACAUUCCCCAAGGAAAUGAAUAAUGACGUGUCUAUGACAUUGAGCCUGUUUGAGUCACAAGCUUGGAGGGUUUGGGAGUGAUCCGCGAGUUGUUGUCGCAUCUAGCAUAAAUCCUAGGAUUAUAGGAGGCCGUAUGUUCUUAAAUGCCACGUCAGAGACUCAUGCAGGGGAGGUUUUGUUUAGCGAUAGGCUGGCUUUUAGAUACAGUUGGAACAACCCCGCACUUCUUUGCUGAGGGGAUAGGCCAAGGUUGUUUCACUGAGCAUAUAUGAGCUGACUGAGCUCUCACAACCAAGCCUCAGGUUGUACAUCAUUCUGAUUUGUUUUAAGUACUGAAAGCUUAUACUCUGUAUGUGAUUCUCAUGAGUUUGCAAUGUACGGAAAUUAAAUUUGUCUGUACUGGAAAGGUGACUGGAAUCUAGAUGGAAAGAGGAUGGUAUUAUGUCUUCUGCUUCAUGUGCACGAGGAAGCUCCAACGAACUGUCUCCUCAUUUACUUGCGUACCCCGCAAUAACACUAAAGCUAUUAGUGUGCUCAGGUACCGUGUUGAAAUGAGCAUAGCUGCUGACACGAUGAGGGUCUAUUUGUUGGUUUUGAUGCAAAAAUGACCAAACUCCAUAACAUGCGAGCCUACGAAGCUGGUCAUCUCAUGGCUGGCCCGGGAGUAAACCCAGAAGAAUCUCAGACACCUCCUUUAUACAAGGAGAUAUUGAAGGAUCUACAAGACCAAAAGGACUAGAUGUUAUUCGUUACAGGGCAACAUCUCCUCUUUUGAAGAAAUUACUCAGUCAGUAUCAGGGUUUCGUAUUUGCAGAUAAUAAGAAUUUUAAUCACCGAAAACUUUCUCUUUAAUACAAAUUAUUACGGAGACACAUACAUUUGGUUAUUUCAUCAAACAGUAAAAAUCUACUUUUGUUAAGACA